rnacentral:rRNA from 1 species
GUGAGGAAUAUUGCGCAAUGGAGGCAACUCUGACGCAGCCAUGCCGCGUGCAGGAAGAAGGCGCUACGCGUUGUAAACUGCUUUUAACCGGGAAGAAACCCCAGGACGUGUCCUGGGUUGACGGUACCGGAGGAAUAAGCACCGGCUAACUUCGUGCCAGCAGCCGCGGUAAUACGAAGGGUGCAAGCGUUAUCCGGAUUCAUUGGGUUUAAAGGGUGCGUAGGCGGAGAGUUAAGUCAGUGGUGAAAUCCUGCAGCUUAACUGUAGACUUGCCAUUGAUACUGGCGCUCUUGAGUGCGCUUGAAGUGGGCGGAAUGUGCCGUGUAGCGGUGAAAUGCUUAGAUAUGGCACAGAACACCAAUUGCGAAGGCAGCUCACUAAGGCGAUACUGACGCUGAGGCACGAAAGCGUGGGGAUCGAACAGGAUUAGAUACCCCGGUAGUCC